UACGAAGGGGGCUAGCGUUGUUCGGAUUUACUGGGCGUAAAGCGCACGUAGGCGGAUUUGUAAGUCAGGGGUGAAAUCCCGGGGCUCAACCUCGGAACUGCCUUUGAUACUGCAAAUCUCGAGUCCGGAAGAGGUGAGUGGAAUUCCUAGUGUAGAGGUGAAAUUCGUAGAUAUUGGGAAGAACACCGAUGGCGAAGGCAGCCAUCUGGACCGACACUGACGCUGAGGCGCGAAAGCGUGGGGAGCAAACAGGG
rnacentral:rRNA from 1 species